AACGAACGCUGGCGGCAGGCUUAACACAUGCAAGUCGAACGCCCCGCAAGGGGAGUGGCAGACGGGUGAGUAACGCGUGGGAACAUACCCUUUCCUGCGGAAUAGCUCUGGGAAACUGGAAUUAAUACCGCAUACGCCCUACGGGGGAAAGAUUUAUCGGGGAAGGAUUGGCCCGCGUUGGAUUAGCUAGUUGGUGGGGUAAAGGCCUACCAAGGCGACGAUCCAUAGCUGGUCUGAGAGGAUGAUCAGCCACAUUGGGACUGAGACACGGCCCAAACUCCUUCGGGAGGCAGCAGUGGGGAAUAUUGGACAAUGGGCGCAAGCCUGAUCCAGCCAUGCCGCGUGAGUGAUGAAGGCCUUAGGGUUGUAAGCUCUUUCACCGAUGAAGAUAAUGACGGUAGUCGGAGAAGAAGCCCCGGCUAACUUCGUGCCAGCCGCCGCGGUAACAC
rnacentral:rRNA from 1 species